UACGUAGGGGGCAAGCGUUGUCCGGAUUUAUUGGGCGUAAAGAGCGUGUAGGCGGCUUGGUAGGUCCGCUGUGAAAACUCGAGGCUCAACCUCGAGAUGUCGGCGGAAACCACUUGGCUAGAGUCCGGAAGAGGAGAGUGGAAUUCUCGGUGUAGCAGUGAAAUGCGUAGAUAUCGAGAGGAACACCAGUGGCGAAGGCGAGUCCCUGGACAACACCUGACACUGAGGCACGAAAGCUAGGGGAGCAAACAGG
rnacentral:rRNA from 1 species